GGCUAGAAUUCUAUAUCCCGUGUUUAAGGGAAAGUAAUUACCAUGUAGUCUCACAUACUGCAUUCGGUGCAAUUGCUAUGUAUUUGGUUGAGAAAAUGAUCUUUAGAAGAAAGAGAUUCGUAAGUUGAGAGAGGUGCACACGUUCAGAUUCACGGAGGACGCAACACUCGCACGUAUGAAGAGAAAGUAGGAAAAAAGACAAAUAAGUACAUGUCAGCAGACAAAGGUUAUACGUAUUUUGUCAUGUUUCACAAGUCGAGGCUAGACAAGUCUAAACGUAUCUUAUUGUAGUGGAUCAAUAAAGGCUCAAACAGACAACCUGCGUUUGUUAAGAUAUUGGACGCUAC